AUGUAUACAGAGGAGCACACGCACACACACAAACCCAUCCUAUGUAUAGAGAGGAGCACACCCACACACAUCCACGCCCAUCCUAUGUAUACAGAGGAGCACACACACACGCACACACAAACCCAUCCUAUGUAUAGAGAGGAGCACAUUCACACACAUCCACGCCCAUCCUAUGUAUACAGAGGAGCACACACACACACACAAACCCAUCCUAUGUAUAGAGAGGAGCACACCCACACACAUCCACGCCCAUCCUAUGUAUACAGAGGAGCACACACACACACACACAAACCCAUCCUAUGUAUAGAGAGGAGCACACCCACACACAUCCACGCCCAUCCUAUGUAUACAGAGGAGCACACACACACACACACACAAACCCAUCCUAUGUAUAGAGAGGAGCACAUUCACACACAUCCACGCCCAUCCUAUGUAUACAGAGGAGCACACACACACACACAAACCCAUCCUAUGUACAGAGAGGAGCACACCCACACACAUCUGCGCCCAUCCUAUGUAUACAGAGGAGCACACACACACACACACAAACCCAUCCUAUGUAUACAAAGGAGCACACACACCCACACCCAUCCUAUGUAUACAGAGCACACCCACACACACACCCAUCCUAUGUAUACAGAGCACACCCACACACACACCCAUCCUAUGUAUACAGAACACACCCACACACACACCCAUCCUAUGUAUACAGAGGAGCACACCCACACACACACCCAUCCUAUGUAUACAGAGGAGCACAUCCACACACACACCCAUCCUAUGUAUACAGAGGAGCACACCCACACCCAUCCUCUGUAUACAGAGGAGCACAACCACACACACACACUCAUCCUCUGUAUACAGAGGAACACACCCACACCCAUCCUAUGUAUACAGAGGAGCACACAUACCCACACCCAUCCUAUGUAUACAGAGGAGCACACCCACACCCCCACACCUAUCCUAUGUAUACAGAGGAGCACACACACCCACACCCAUCCUCUGUAUACAGAGGAGCACAACCACACACACACACCCAUCCUCUGUAUACAGAGGAGCACACCCCCCCACACACACACCCAUCCUCUGUAUACAGAGGAGCACACUCCCCCACACAGAAACCCAUUCUAUGUAUACAGAGGAGCACAACCCCCCACACACAAACCCAUCCUAUGUAUACAGAGGAGCACACCCACACAUCCACACCCAUCCUAUGUAUACAGAGGAGCACACACACCCACACCCAUCCUAUGUAUACAGAGGAGCACACCAACACACACACACCCAUCGUAUGUAUACAGAGGAGUAUACCCACACACACACCCAUCCUAUGUAUACAGAGGAGCACACAUACCCAUACCCAUCCUAUGUAUACAGAGGAGCACACACACCCACACCCAUCCUAUGUGUACAGAGGAGCACACCCACACAUGCCUGUGCAUUUGCAACGCCCACAUGUAUACACACAAGUGUCAACAGGCACACCUGAAGGAGCACACACACACGUCCUUGUGUAUAUGUGCGUACACAACACACGUGUAUGUACUGCAUGCCCACACAUGUACAGGCUCAUACAUCCACACAUAUUUGCAUGGCACGUUUCCCCACAUGUCCACAGGCAAGCCUCUGGACUCCAAUAUUGGACCCCAGAGAUGCAUGCCAGGAGUCAGCCUGCAGUCUUCUCAUAGGAAGGGAGCAGGGGUCUAG
ensembl:lncRNA